rnacentral:rRNA from 1 species
GACGAACGCUGGCGGCGUGCCUAAUACAUGCAAGUCGAACGCAUUUUCUUUCACCGUAGCUUGCUACACCGAAAGAAAAUGAGUGGCGAACGGGUGAGUAACACGUGGGUAACCUGCCCAUCAGCGGGGGAUAACACUUGGAAACAGGUGCUAAUACCGCAUAAUUCCAUUUACUGCAUGGUAGAUGGAUGAAAGGCGCUUUUGCGUCACUGAUGGAUGGACCCGCGGUGCAUUAGCUAGUUGGUGGGGUAACGGCCUACCAAGGCUGCGAUGCGUAGCCGACCUGAGAGGGUGAUCGGCCGCCCUGGGACUGAGACACGGCCCAGACUCCUACGGGAGGCAGCAGUAGGGAAUCUUCGGCGAUGGACGCAAGUCUGGCCGAGCAACGCCGCGUGAGUGAAGAAGGUUUUCGGAUCGUAAAACUCUGUUGUUAGAAAAGAACAAGGAUGAGAGUGGAAAGUUCAUCCCUGGAGGGUAUCGAACCAGAAAGCCACGGCUAACUACGU